rnacentral:sRNA from 1 species
UUUUUUUUGUGCUAAUUUUUAUGUGAUUAAGAUUUAAUUGAUUUCGUAUAUAAAAUAUUAAAUUGUUUUACGAACUUAUUUGUUUAUAAUUUGGUAGCAGGCAGAUAUUUGAAUACUCAGUAUAUUUUGCUUCAGUUUAAGAAAUCUUUGAUGAUCCGUCUUUAGAUCCAAUAAACCCUAUAAUUAAGAGAUGAAUAUUAUCGUUAAAUGAUUUUGGUAACCUUAAUGACGUCAUUAAAAGAUUUUGUUUUUGAUUAAAUUUUUCUAAUGGCAUUGUCAUGUAAUUAAUUAUAAAAAUUAAGGUUACAUUUAAAAUGUACUUUCCAAAUAAUAUAGUAGGAUCGUUGAACACGACAAAAAGAUAAAUUGGUACAUCAAAAGAAAGCAUUCAAUAUCACAAAUUAUUUGGUACGCACAAAUAAGAUCUUUUAGACAAUGAAUUGAUG